CCAAUAGUGUAUAUUAAAGUUGUUGCAGUUAAAAAGCUCGUAGUUGAAUUUCGAGACCGGUUUAUUGGUCGUGCUUUUGUACGUACUGGUAUUAUUGGUUUCUCCUUUCUGACGAAUCUUAAUGCCAUUAAUUUGGUGUUUUGGGGAAUCAGGACUGUUACUUUGAAAAAAUUAGAGUGUUUAAAGCAGGCUCACGCUUGAAUACAUUAGCAUGGAAUAACGGAAUAGGACGUUUGAUUCUAUUUUGUUGGUUUCUAGGAUCGACGUAAUGAUUAAUAGGGAUAGUUGGGGGCAUUAGUAUUCAAUUGUCAGAGGUGAAAUUCUUGGAUUUAUUGAAGACUAACUACUGCGAAAGCAUUUGCCAAGGAUGUUUUCAUUAAUCAAGAACGAAAGUUAGGGGAUCGAAGACGAUCAGAUACCGUCGUAGUCUUAACCAUAAACUAUGCCGACUAGGGAUCGGAUGAUGUUAAUUUUUUAAUGACUCAUUCGGCGCCUUACG
rnacentral:rRNA from 1 species